rnacentral:rRNA from 1 species
CACGAAGUUAGCCGUCCCUUCCUCUUCGGGUACUAUCAACCCUGCCGGCUAUUUACCGUCAGGUCUUACUCCCCGAUGACAGGAGUUUACAAUCCGAAGACCUUCAUCCUCCACGCGGCGUUGCACCAUCAGGGUUUCCCCCAUUGUGAAUUAUUCUCGACUGCUGCCACCCGUAGGUGUCUGGACCGUGUCUCAGUUCCAGUGUGCCUGAUCAUCCUCUCAGACCAGGUACCCGUCGUUGCCUUGGUGAGCCGUUACCUCACCAACAAGCUGAUAGGCCGCGAGCCAAUCCUGCAGCGGCAGCUUGCGCCACCUUUACCCUUGCGGGACCAGUGGGUAUUAAUCCGCCUUUCGGCGGCUACUUCCCCACUGCAGGGCAUGUAACUCACGUGUUACGCACCCGUGCGCCACUGGAUGAAGCGGUAUUGCUACAACUUCCACCCGUUCGACUUGCAUUCGUACUUAAACACCGCCGCCAGCCGUUCGUUCUGAGCCAGGACUACAAACUCU